rnacentral:lncRNA from 1 species
UUUAAAAUUUUUAGUUUGUAGGAUUUUAAUUAAAAAAGAAGGAAAAAAUAGAAAAAAUAAAAGAAAGAAUUGAAAAGGGAUUUAUCUUGUGAAAUUGGGUCAGCUCUCACCCAACCCAUAUUUGAUCCAAGAUUUCUCUUAACCCAAGCACAAACCACCCAUGACCCGACUUGCCUGACCCAAACUCAAUUUCUCCACCUAAAACCUAAUACACGGGUAAAUACACUAGAGAGGGACACACGAUAGAGGUCAGAAAAUGGGGGAAGAGAAUACAAUACACACAAUACACGAAUAAUCAAGGGGGGAGCACCUCUCUAAUUGUAUCUUCGGAUUCUCACGCUUUCACUCUCCAAAUUCCUUCACCCCAUUUCAUCACCAACCGUCCGGUGGCAGCCAUGGUCGAGCAACACCAGCAAAUCACCAUUGAAACCAGAUAAAAUUAGUCCGAAAGUUACUCCAAAAUACAACCAUGAAACUCCUCAAAAUUCCACUUGAAACCAGCGUGAAAAUCAACUAAUACGCUGCUGAAAUCUGCUGAAAGCUCCGCUGAAAUCCGCCUUUUAACGGACAAAAACAGCACUUCAAGGUUAAGCUCCAGUCUGUCGAUCUCGGCAAUGAAGUUUGGUUUCAAAUUCCCUUUGUUUGUUCAACUUGGGAAGUGCCGAUUCGCUGAGCUCCAUUUUCAAGUUUUGCUACCUUCAUUUGGUCUAGUUUUGAUAGUUUUGUUGCUGUCAAGGAGUCGAAUUUUGUACUUUUAUUUUUGGUUUUGGUCGAGGUGGAUUUGGCUGGAUUCAUUGCUUUUCGUUGCUGUUCUCCUUUCCUUUUAUGGCUGAGCUCCAAAUUGUAGCUGUUUUCAGCCUGGUUUAGGCCCUCAACUAGUGUUUUCCAAGCUCAAUUAGGUAAGCUCUACACUUCCUUGUAUUGCUUUUCAUUAAACAUUCAUAUCAGUUAAUUUUCUUUUUUUUUUUUUUUGAUUUUGAGCAUCUGUCUAAAUUUCAAUUCCGGCGAUCCUAUUUGUGCGAUAACUGUGUUAUUGAAUAUCAUUUGGAAAAUGUCAGAAAAAUAGUGAGUUAAUUCUACUACUUUUCUGCUUUGAAAUCUGUUGUUGAAUACCAUUAUUUGGUGUAUGUCAUGAAGUGUGACGUUGAAGUCUCUGUAUGUAAAAGUUUCUUUGUUUAUUCAGUGUAUGUUAUGACUGACGAAUUUAUGUCAGUAGCAUGCUUAAUGUGAAGAGUCUAUAAAUUUGACUUAUAGCUGGUUAGAUCUGCUUUUCUCACUAUGUGACGUGGUUAGAUCUGCUUUUCUCACUUCUAGAUUUCGUGCUUGGAAGUUGUAUAUUCAAUUUCUCUACUCUACUUGGGUGAACAAACAGAAUGUUAUUCUAAAUUAUUAAUGAUGAGGAAAUGCUUCACUGAUUUAAACACAAGUUUGGUUGCGUUGAUUUUGGUUUUGAUUUAUUCUAGUAAUGGGC